rnacentral:rRNA from 1 species
UUAAGUGAUCCACCUGGGGAGUACGAUCUCAAGGUUGAAACUCAAAGUAAUUAUCGGGGGCCCGCACAAGCGGUGGGAACAUGUGGUUUAAUUCGAUGAUACGCGAGGAACCUUACCUGGGCUUAAAUGUAGCGCGACGUCUCGAGAUAUCGGGAUUCCUUUCGGGGCGAACUACAAGGUGCUGCAUGGUUGUCGUCAGCUCGUGCCGUGAGGUAUCGGAUUAAGUCCCAUAACGAGCGCAACCCUUAUUGUUAGUUGCCAGCGGAUAAUGCCGGGGACUCUAACAAAACUGCCCGUGUAAACGGGAGGAAGGUGGGGAUGACGUCAAAUCAGCACGGGCCCUUACGUCCAGGGCUACACACGUGUUACAAUGGCUGGAACAAAGGGCAGCUACCACGCAAGUGGAUGCUAAUCUCUAAAUCCAGUCCCAGUUCGGAUCGGAAGUCUGCAAUUCGACUUCGUGAAGAUGGAAUCGCUAGUAAUCGCGCAUCAGCAAUGGCGCGGUGAAUAUGUUCCCGGGCCNUGUACACACUGCCCGUCAAGCCAUGGAAGUUAGUAGUACCUG